rnacentral:rRNA from 1 species
GGAGGAAAAGAAACCAACAGGGAUUGCCCUAGUAACGGCGAGUGAAGCGGCAACAGCUCAAAUUUGAAAUCUGGCGCAAGCCCGAGUUGUAAUUUGUAGAGGAUGCUUCAGGGCAGCGGCCGGUCUAAGUUCCUUGGAACAGGACGUCAUAGAGGGUGAGAAUCCCGUAUGCGACCGGUUGGCACCCGUCACGUAGCUCCUUCGACGAGUCGAGUUGUUUGGGAAUGCAGCUCUAAAUGGGAGGUAAAUGCCUUCUAAAGCUAAAUACCGGCCAGAGACCGAUAGCGCACAAGUAGAGUGAUCGAAAGAUGAAAAGCACUUUGGAAAGAGAGUUAAAAAGCACGUGAAAUUGUUGAAAGGGAAGCGCAUGCAACCAGACUUGCCGGCGGUGUUCAACCGGUCUUCUGACCGGUCUACUCGCCGCCGGCAGGCCAACAUCAUUUGGGAGCGCCGGAUAAAGGUGGGAGGAAUGUGGCCCCUCGGGGUGUUAUAGCCUCCUACGCAAUACGGCGCCUCCCGAGUGAGGUCCGCGCUUCGGCUAGGAUGUUGGCGUAAUGGUUGUCUGCGGCCCGUCUUGAAACACGGACCAAGGAGUCUAACAUCUAUGCGAGUGUUCGGGUGUCAAACCCCUACGCGUAAUGAAAGUGAACGGAGGUGGGAACUUUUUGUGCACCAUCGACCGAUCCUGAUGUCUUCGGAUGGAUUUGAGUAAGAGCAUAGCUGUUGGGACCCGAAAGAUGGUGAACUAUGCCUGAAUAGGGUGAAGCCAGAGGAAACUCUGGUGGAGGCUCGCAGCGGUUCUGACGUGCAAAUCGAUCGUCAAAUUUGGGUAUAGGGGCGAAAGACUAAUCGAACCAU